AAUCCUUCACCCGGUGCUCUCUCUCUCUCCACUGUAACCACCCUAGUCCGAUCGAUCGGGCCAUGGCGCUCUGCCUCCUUUUGUACUUGGUCUCCGGCUACUCGGUGUUCCACGCCUACGACGUCGACGAGAUCAGAUCGGACAGAGCACAGAGGCCUUCCGUAACUUCGUCCUCGACCUCACCCGCUUCGAUGUAUUUUUUUAUGGGGGUGCGGGAUUAGGGCUUAUUACCGAGGAGCUGAGGAACUUCUUGGAGAUUAAUUUUCCAAAGGUGAAAAAAAGGGAAGAAGGCAAAGUUCAGCCUUGGCAUUGCGGAGCCGAAGGUUGUGUCAGAGAUAUUUAAGGACCCGAGAGUAAUGAUUCCUUUGUUGACUCGGAGGAUCGAGGAGUGACUCCAUGACCAACUCAGCUAGAGGUUUAGUGACAUAUUAUACAUGAUGGAUGAAACAAAAACAGUGGAUUUGGCUUGUUUAUCCUCCCACUAGCAAUGCAACACCUUGCUUCAUGUCACUCAAGGGAUCAUUUAUUAAACUCAUGUAUUAGUUUCAAGGACAACAAAAUAAAAGAUUUGAUUUGGUCAUGUCCACCUAGGAAUGAAAUCUGGAUCUGGCAAGCCAAUGGUACCAAACUGUGGACUCACACCCCCAAACUGAUUUGAUUAGAAAUCUAAAUUGGUGUGUUAUCUUCA